UGCAGCGACGCCACGUGAGGGAUGACGGCCUUCGGGUUGUAAACCUCUUUCAGCAGGGAAGAAGCGCAAGUGACGGUACCUGCAGAAGAAGCGCCGGCUAACUACGUGCCAGCAGCCGCGGUAAUACGUAGGGCGCAAGCGUUGUCCGGAAUUAUUGGGCGUAAAGAGCUCGUAGGCGGUCUGUCGCGUCUGGUGUGAAAUCCCAUGGCUCAACUGUGGGCUUGCAUCGGGUACGGGCAGACUAGAGUGCUGUAGGGGAGACUGGAAUUCCUGGUGUAGCGGUGGAAUGCGCAGAUAUCAGGAGGAACACCGAUGGCGAAGGCAGGUCUCUGGGCAGUUACUGACGCUGAGGAGCGAAAGCAUGGGGAGCGAACAGGAUUAGAUACCCUGGUAGUCCAUGCCGUAAACGUUGGGCACUAGGUGUGGGGCGGGUUCCACUCGUUCUGUGCCGUAGCUAACGCAUUAAGUGCCCCGCCUGGGGAGUACGGCCGCAAGGCUAAAACUCAAAGGAAUUGACGGGGGCCCGCACAAGCGGCGGAGCAUGCGGAUUAAUUCGAUGCAACGCGAAGAACCUUACCAAGGCUUGACAUGUACGAGAAAGCCCCAGAGAUGGGGUUCUCUUUGGACACUCGUACACAGGUGGUGCAUGGUUGUCGUCAGCUCGUGUCGUGAGAUGUUGGGUUAAGUCCCGCAACGAGCGCAACCCUUAUCCUAUGUUGCCAGCGGGUUAUGCCGGGGACUCAUGGGAGACUGCCGGGGUCAACUCGGAGGAAGGUGGGGAUGACGUCAAAUCAUCAUGCCCCUUAUGUCUUGGGCUUCACGCAUGCUACAAUGGCCGGUACAGAGGGCUGCGAUACCGUGAGGUG
rnacentral:rRNA from 1 species